ensembl:lncRNA
CAAUUAUAAUAAUACGUCAGGUCAAUUAUAAUAAUGUAUCAGAUCAAUUAUAAUAAUGUGUCAGAUCAAUUAUAAUAAUGUAUCAGAUCAAUUAUAAUAAUGUAUCAGAUCAAUUAUAAUAAUGUAUCAGGUCAAUUAUGAUAAUACGUCAGAUCAAUUAUAAUAAUGUAUCAGAUCAAUUAUAAUAAUGUAUCAGAUCAAUUAUAAUAAUGUAUCAGGUCAAUUAUGAUAAUACGUCAGAUCAAUUAUGAUAAUGUAUCAGAUCAAUUAUAAUAAUGUAUCAGAUCAAUGGCAGAAUUUGUUUAGUGGAUUAGUUUCAGUAGCAUUAAAAAAAAAACCCCAAACAUAGUUAGCUCAUAUUUUAUCUGCUUAAAAAUAACUUCAAAGAAAAAAUAAGAAAUUACUAUUCGAUUAUGUGUGUGUACUUUAAAUAUCAAUAAAUACGUCAGCAAACCAUUUAGUUUGUCUUUUUUUUGUUGUUGACCUUUUA